rnacentral:rRNA from 1 species
CCUACGGGAGGCAGCAGUGGGGAAUAUUGGACAAUGGGCGAAAGCCUGAUCCAGCGACGCCGCGUGGGUGAUGAAGGCCUUCGGGUUGUAAAGCCCUGUGGGCAGGGAAGAAAACGUUGCGGUCGAACAGGCCGCGACCUUGACGGUACCUGCUCAGAAAGCACCGGCUAACUCUGUGCCAGCAGCCGCGGUAAGACAGAGGGUGCAAACGUUGCUCGGAAUUACUGGGCGUAAAGCGCGUGUAGGCUGACCGUAAAGUCAGGUGUGAAAUCCCUGGGCUCAACCCAGGAACUGCACUUGAAACUCACGGUCUAGAGUAGUGGAGAGGGAAGUGGAAUUCCUGGUGUAGAGGUGAAAUUCGUAGAUAUCAGGAGGAACACCAGUGGCGAAGGCGGCUUCCUGGACACUAACUGACGCUGAGACGCGAAAGCGUGGGGAGC